UUUUCAAUAAGCGGAGGAAAAGAAACCAACCGGGAUUGCCUUAGUAACGGCGAGUGAAGCGGCAAAAGCUCAAAUUUGAAAUCUGGUACCUUCGGUGCCCGAGUUGUAAUUUGGAGAGGGCAACUUUGGGGCCGUUCCUUGUCUAUGUUCCUUGGAACAGGACGUCAUAGAGGGUGAGAAUCCCGUGUGGCGAGGAGUGCGGUUCUUUGUAAAGUGCCUUCGAAGAGUCGAGUUGUUUGGGAAUGCAGCUCUAAGUGGGUGGUAAAUUCCAUCUAAAGCUAAAUAUUGGCGAGAGACCGAUAGCGAACAAGUACAGUGAUGGAAAGAUGAAAAGAACUUUGAAAAGAGAGUGAAAAAGUACGUGAAAUUGUUGAAAGGGAAGGGCAUUUGAUCAGACAUGGUGUUUUGUGCCCUCUGCUCCUUGUGGGUAGGGGAAUCUCGCAUUUCACUGGGCCAGCAUCAGUUUUGGUGGCAGGAUAAAUCCAUAGGAAUGUAGCUUGCCUCGGUAAGUAUUAUAGCCUGUGGGAAUACUGCCAGCUGGGACUGAGGACUGCGACGUAAGUCAAGGAUGCUGGCAUAAUGGUUAUAUGCCGCCCGUCUUGAAACACGGGA
rnacentral:rRNA from 1 species